GGGCCCGUAGUAUACCGGUAGAACGGCGCUAUGGCAUAGCGCAAAAGGGGGUUCGAUUCCCCCCGGGUCCACCA
rnacentral:tRNA from 1 species